GAACACAGAUGGUCUGGUACCAUGGUGGGGACCCUGGUGCUGCACUGGCUUUGAACUGGGUUGGAAGCUCUGCCUGCACACAGGCACUGAUUCAGCCACCAAAAGGCACAGAGAGGACCACUGCAGGGCACAGCAGUUACCUCGUCCUCCACCAGCAUGGCCUCACAGAACAACCCAGACAAGAGCUGGGAGGAGAAGGAGCACCAAGAGAAGAAGAUGGAGCAGCCAAAGUGCAGCCCUAAGAAAGCAGAGGAGGAAGAGGACAACAUAGAGGAGGAGGAUGAGAAUGAUGACUAUGAUGAUGCUGACUGUGAGGGGGAGAACGGUGAGGAUGCAUAUCACCAAGAUGAUGAAAAGAAGGAGGGGCACUGUCACAUUCACACCAGAGAGAAGCUGUUUCCCUGUGCUGAGUGUGGCAAGAGCUUCACCUACAGGUCUGCCCUCCAGCCCUCACACACCAGUGAGAAGCCUUUCACCUGUGCUGACUGUGGCAAGAGCUUCAUCCAGAAAUUCAAUCUUGCUAUCCACCAACACACACACGCUGGCAAGAAGCCUGUUGUGACUGCAGCAGGAGUUUCACUCAGAAGUCCUCUCUCAUCACACACCAUUGUGUCCACACUGGUGAGAAGCCCUACAGCUGUGCUGACUGUGGCAAGAGGUUCAAGAGCAGCUCCCAUCUCACCCGGCACUGCCUCAGCCAUGCCGCUGACCAGACCACACUGGGGGGAGGUCACAAAUAGACCCACCCUGGAUCUGUUGGGGUAAUUGGGACCACCCCAAGAGGGUGGUUCCAGCAGAUGGAACCAAAAUCACCUCUUUUUGACCUGCAUUUCUCAGGGGCUGGAGGCUCCAGCAGGAACAAGCAACCCCUGCCCUUCUAAACACCAACUACUGGGAAUUAAGAAUAAUUACACUGAUGAGUUUGCACAGCUGGUGCUGCCACUGGAGCUGUGCUGAGCUCUGCUAUGAUUUAUCUGGUUGUUCCCCAAUGCUGUGGGUCUCCUUGUCCAUUGUCCAGGUGUGAAUGAUAACCAAAGUUACCCAAAUCCUGUCAUUUCCAGUUUUAGUUGGGACAUUUCUUCCCACAGUGCCCAAAUGUUGGGGACCUUUGUUCCCUAAGAAUGGGGCUGGAGCCAUGUACCCAGUUCAGGAAAGCCAAAGGGAGGCUGUCAGAGUAGUCUUGAGAGCACCGUGGAAGGGUUUCAGGGUGUGAUGGUUUGAGUGUUACCUGCCCCCACCACUAUAUACAGCUAUAUAGAGAAAUACAGAACUCAGCCCUCCUACCACCUGCAGCCUUGACCCUCCAUGUCUCCAUCCAUUGCCCCAUCUGCACUCCCUUUGUGCCUUCUGAAUCCCCAGGGAGCCACCAAGGUCCAAGGGCUGAUCUACACACCCAGUAUGGCCCAGCAGAAGGCCCUGGAGGAGACCCCCCUCCGGAAUAAGUUAGAGGACCUCAAGUGAACAAGCUGCAGGGGUGGCCAGGUGAAGCUCAUGAGGUCUUCCACCUGGGCUGGAACAAGCCUCACAAUCAGCAUAGGCUGGGAGAGGAGCUGAUAGAAAGCAGUCCUGCAGAAAAGCACUUGGGGACUUUGGUGCAGAAGCAGCUGGACAUGAGCAGGCAGUGUGUGAUCGUUUGGGUGUACCCUGCACCCCCACACUUUAGAAAUACCCAACUAGACUCAGCUGGCUCUGGGAAUAUAAAUGAAGCUAUUUAUUUACAGCAGCACUAUGUACAAGCAGCUAUUUACAAUAUAUACAGUUAUAGACAGAAAUACACAAGGUAAAAGUAAUACAGAAACACAACUCCCGUCCCAGAAACCUGAGUCCCUGGGAGGGGCUCUCAACCACCUCUUCACCUUCCCCCUGCCCCUCUUAACCUUACCCCAGUCCUAAGGAGGAAAAGAGGUUCAGCCAAGAGGUUAAGGAGCAAAGGUGAGUGGAAGGUGAGGUUAGGGAGCUGCAGCUCAGUCAAAAGCCCAAAGCAGAGUGUGACAAAAUGGUGAGAGUGUUAUCUAAUGUUUACUUUCUUCUUCAGCAAGACUCUGAGGGGAGUAGACAUCACCAUUGUUUUCCUUUCACAGCCUAUGAUCUAGUUCUUCUCACCAAAACAUUCUACCCUGCUUCAAACUAGCACAAUCCACCCCUGUCUACUUCACUCGGAGUAUCGCUGAGAAUUAUCUGAUCUAAUCUAAACCAAUGUUUACACUAAUGAAUAUUACAAGUUCAGUUCACACUUCAUUUGGCUAUCUCAGAUGUAGGUGAUUCAAAAGCUCAGAACAGUUUGUCUCCUUACAGAUAAGACGAGAACAGGGACUCCCAGGUGAUGUUGGGUUUGGGCUCAUGUACUGUAGAGUCUCUCGUGGAUUCUUUCAGUGUUGGAUGCCGAUGGUACCUAGAACAGAAAACUCCUAACAGCUUUAUUAUCCACGCUGAAUUUAAACUCUCUCAGCUAAGGUUAGAUUUCUCUGUGGCUGUUGUGAUAUGGAGUUUAGGGGAAUUUAUGGGGAAAAACAUGCGAGGCCGAUUAUAAAAGAAGGUUAAAUGAUUUAUUACUAAAACACUCGAAAUCCCCUUCCCCAAAACUUAUUUAUAACUAUCCCAUGUAAGUUCUUGAUUCACGGUUGCAGAUUAAAAUAGAAAAUGGCUAAAAUAAAGAGAGUCUGUGAUUUUAA